GCAAACUUGGUCAUUUAGAGGAAGUAAAAGUCGUAACAAGGUUUCCGUAGGUGAACCUGCGGAAGGAUCAUUAUCAAGAUCGAUUCCGAACAAACCAAACGGUAUGGAACGAUCAAAUCCAUAUCCACCCUGUGUGCACCGAUUGACCGUUUGCUUUUGGCAGGAAAAGGAGCCUUCGAUCCGGAGGCGCUGAGAGGCCACGAGAAAUGGCCUCAGCCUGCCAAGAGGCUUCCGAACUCACGUUUGUCUUUUUGUUACCUUCUUUUUUGGACUGAACCUCUUUUCGUCUCGAUUCUCUGGUAAUCGGUCGAAUCAAAGAGACAACUUUCAACAACGGAUCUCUUGGCUCUCGCAUCGAUGAAGAACGCAGC
rnacentral:misc_RNA from 1 species